GAUACUUUUUAAAAAUAAACUUUGGUUGUAAAAGAUUCAUUUAGCUCUGAGACAGAAGAGAAGGUGAGACAACUUCGUUAGGAAAAUCUAAAUUCAAAUCCAAAAAAGAUUGUUAACUUGAGGAGAGAAGUAAUUCACUACCAAAUUAAAUACUUCUUUAUUAUACAGAAAUAGAAGUUUUUAAGCUAGCUCGAGGGGUGCUUUGAAUCGAAUUACAAUAGCACCCAUUAAUAUUUCUUGGAUUUUUCUGCAGGCGGUAAAUGUGAUUAUAAAACUCCUUGUCGGGUUGGCUUAGCUUGCAUUGACUGGCGAUGUAAGAGAAUUCACAAAAAGAAAACAACUCCUGAACCAGAUACUACAACUCCAGAAGCAACUACAACUGCUGGACCAACGACUACAACAACGGAACCUACAACUACUACAACGCCAACUACAACGACAACUACAACGACAACAACAACAACAACUACUACCACUACAACAACUACUACUACCGAAUGUCCUCAUCAUCAUCAUCAUCACUGUAAUUAAAGAAACGAAAUCUGCAACAUAAGGACCUAAAUAGACUCAUGCUUAUCUUCGAGAAUAUUAGCUUCUAAAAUUUGGCGGUAAAGAUUUAUAUCAAACUGUCAUAUACUGAAGGUUUAGGCUAACCGAUUAAAUGUUCCCCAGCGGGUACAAUUAUGUUAGCUGAAAAAGGCAGAGUUUUCAGCAAAAAUAUGCUGAAAACGCUGCCUUUUUUUUUAGCUAAAUUCGCUCGCUGGGCUUUUUACUAAAUUUCAAAUUUUAAAUUUCUACAAGUUCAUAUUGGUUAUCGAUUUUGAAUUUAUUUUUAAAUUUAUGAAUUUUUUAAUUAGCUGAACUCAUAUAAACGGAACCCUUCUUAGACAAAAAAGGAAGUUUUAGAAAAAUUAACAAGAACGUUUUUAAUGUAAACUGAUCUUAAUAAAGGAGUAAAAAUGAU